CAAGUCCAAGACACCCACUGGGUGCUGGAAAGAGUGCAGAGAAGCUUUCCUGGUGGACUUCCUGGAGGCCAGGGGAAGGCCCCUCGCUCCUCCCAUGAGGGAUGAAACACCAGGAUAUGGGAAACUUUCCUGAUUCAGCCAGCCCUUGGAUGUCAAGGAGACAAACACUGGACUGGAGCUCCGGCAUAAAAGGAGAUGUGCCAUUUUCAUAUGUUCCACACAUACUCAGAGAACCUGCUUGGAAUAUUUUUGCUGAUGAAAUUUUCUGGGUUGUAACAUUCAUCUCUUUGAAAAGCUUGCUUCCUAUAACCCCACGUGGAGGUUUGUGCUUUUACUUCUCUCUGCGAUGCCAUCUACACGUGGAUUUUUGUGUCAACUGCUUAUCUCAGGCAUUAGCCAAUUUCUUGUCUGUUUGUAUUGUUUAUAAGGUGCUGGACACACACGGUGCUUUGCCGACGCGAGCGGACCCAGCUCCCUGCCCUGUGGAGAGCACCGUCUAA
rnacentral:lncRNA from 1 species